rnacentral:lncRNA from 1 species
GCGGGCGGGCGCUGUGAGGAAGCUUCGUGCCGCGUUGCGUUCGGAUUACACAAAGACACAGAGAGACUGUUUGAGUAAGACCAGGAUGGAAGAGUUUGGUGGGGACUUUCUCAUCCAGAGAGAUGCUGUCCUGCCUGAGUUGUGCUGUAAUCACUUCACCAUAACAAACCUGGUGGAAGUGCUGAGCUCUUUGAUGGCUUUAACUGACCCUCAGGAAGGGAAGCUGACUCAGUCUCAAGAGAAAGCAGUAAACUCGCUGGUCGUUUUGAAACCCGUAUUUGCAGCUGUUCCUGGGCCUACAUCAAAGACUUC